rnacentral:tmRNA from 1 species
GGGGAUGAUCGGUUUCGACGACGGUUGUUGGUGUGGGAGAAGCGGGUCGAGGAUGCGUCUCUCAUCUCGAAAACGAUGAGCGCAAAACUAUAGGUGCCGAACGUAAUCGCACCGAAGCCUUCGCUCUAGCCGCCUGAGCUAGCGAACUGCUUCCGUCAGCCUAGGCAAGCUUCUGGCCUAGUUCCUGGCGUCAUCUAAGAAGCCACUGGUUGCGUGUCUUGUUGCCGGACACGCUUCGACAUCUAGGUAACUGAGUCUGUCAGCAUCUUGUCUGCGUGAGUGCUGGGGCUGAGAACAACGACAGCAGACUGCACCCGGAGAAGUAUCACGGGGCAACCGCCGGACCGGGGUUCGAUUCCCCGCAUCUCCACCA